rnacentral:rRNA from 1 species
GUGAAAUAGAACCUGAAACCCUAUGCCUACAAGGUGUUAGAGCCCUUUCGAGGGUGAUAGCGUGCCUUUUGCUUAAUGAGUCUGCGAGUUACCGUCUGUGGCAAGCUUAAGAUCUUCUGGAUCGUAGGCGUAGCGAAAGCAAGUCCGAAUAGGGCGAUCCUAGUUGCAGGCGGUAGACCCGAAACGGAGGUGACCUACCCAUGGCCAGGUUGAAGCUUAGGUGAUACUAAGUGGAGGACCGAACCGGUGUG